UAAGUAGGUGGCAAGCGUUGUCCGGAAUUACUGGGUGUAAAGGGCGUGUAGGCGGGAAGAUAAGUCAGAUGUGAAAUCCCAGGGCUUAACUCUGGAGCUGCAUCUGAAACUGUUUUUCUUGAGUACUGGAGAGGAAAGUGGAAUUCCUAGUGUAGCGGUGAAAUGCGUAGAGAUUAGGAGGAACACCAGUGGCGAAGGCGGCUUUCUGGACAGUAACUGACGCUGAGGCUCGAAAGCGUGGGGAGCAAACAGGAUUAGAUACCCUGGUA
rnacentral:rRNA from 1 species